AGCGAACGCUGGCGGCAGGCUUAACACAUGCAAGUCGAACGGGCUUCUUCGGAAGUCAGUGGCAGACGGGUGAGUAACACGUGGGAACGUGCCCUUCGGUUCGGAAUAACUCAGGGAAACUUGAGCUAAUACCGGAUACGCCCUUUUGGGGAAAGGUUGACUGCCGAAGGAUCGGCCCGCGUCUGAUUAGCUUGUUGGUGGGGUAACGGCCUACCAAGGCGACGAUCAGUAGCUGGUCUGAGAGGAUGAUCAGCCACACUGGGACUGAGACACGGCCCAGACUCCUACGGGAGGCAGCAGUGGGGAAUAUUGGACAAGGGGCGCAAGCCUGAUCCAGCCAUGCCGCGUGAGUGAUGAAGGCCUUAGGGUUGUAAAGCUCUUUUGUCCGGGACGAUAAUGACGGUACCGGAAGAAUAAGCCCCGGCUAACUUCGUG
rnacentral:rRNA from 1 species